CAGCAGCAGCCUUUCCAAAUAGGUCCAUUGUUACGUCAAGUCCAUUCCUAGUCCAGUGUGUUGGUUUCCUCAAUUGCCGUGUGCUGUGCUUAAGAAAGUCCGCUCUCCAGCCUACAUCGGGAACACUGCCUUGCCACCAGCAGCAGCCUUUCCAAAAGGGUCCAUUGUUAUGUCAAGUCCAUUCUUAGUCCAGUGUGUUGAUUUCCUCAGUUGCCGUGGGCUGUGCUUAAGAAAGUCCGCUCUCCAGCCUACAUCGGGAACACUGCCUUGCCACCAGCAGCAGCCUUUCCAAAAGGGUCCAUUGUUACGUCAAGUCCAUUCCUAGUCCAGUGUGUUGGUUUCCUCAAUUGCUGUGUGCUGUGCUUAAGAAAGUCCGCUCUCCAGCCUACAUCGGGAACACUGCCUUGUAUAACCCAUUCUUUGUCCAUUGUGUUGCUGUGCUGAUAUUAAGGAAAUUCGCUCUACCUCCCUCAUCUGGAAUACUGCCUCAGAAGCCACUGUCCCAGUAUUGUCUUCAAUGGAUUAUGCUGAUCCUUCAAAUUGGCCAAAUAAAAUAACUGAUCAAAUACGAAUAAUGUUGUUCGAAAAAGAGCCAGUGCAAUUAGAAAACUUCAAUUUCAAAGUUUCUGAAAAUGGAAGGAGGUUAAAUCCAAGCAUGUACAAACGACAUUUAAUCAAUGGAGAUGUAGUUCAUAGAGACUGGCUUAUUUAUAGUUUCUGAAAAAAUUCAGUUUUCUGCUUCUGUUGCAAACUUUUCAAUUCAGGGGUAAGUGUAAGUCUUCACUUGUAUCUAGUGAAGGUUACGGUGAUUGGAGCAAUAUCUGUAAGAUAUUAUCACAACAUGAGGCAACGCCGUAUCACAUUGGAACUUACCAUUCAUGGGUAGAACUAACACAGCGUUUAAAACUAAACAAGACAAUUUACUCUGAAAACAAACGGCUAAUGUGGGCUGAAACAGAGCAUUGGAGAGAAGUUUUGAAACGUCUACUUUAUAUAGUAGAAUAUUUGAGUAUGCAGUGUUUGCCUUUUAGAGGAACUACAGAUACUCUGCACAAGCACAAUAAUGGAAAUUUCCUAAAACUUGUAGAAUGUAUUUCAAAAUUUGAUAGCGUAAUGUCUGAACAUCUGCGAAGGAUUGCCAAUAGAGAUAAUUACGCCAUUGUUCAUUAUCUAGGAAAGACCAUACAAAAUGAGUUUAUACAGCUUUUGGCAUCUGAGAUAAAAAAACAAAUUUUGAUGGAAAUUAAUGAAGCCACUUAUUAUUCCAUCAUUUUAGACUGUACUCCUGAUAUUUCUCACAUAGAGCAAAUGACAGUAGUAGUUCGCUACGUAAAUAUCAAAGAUGGAAAAGAUAUAUCAAUCCAAGAAAAAUUCAUUGAAUUCUUACCUGUUAAUGUCACAUCGGGUUUAGCUUUAGCAGAAACCAUCAUUGAAGAGCUCUAGCAUUUAAAAAUUCCUUUAAAAAACAUGAGAGGUCAAGGAUACGACAAUGGCUCCAACAUGAAGGGUAAAAAUGUUGGUGUCCGUUAGAACCUACUGAAUUUAUAAUUUGAUAUGCCGCACGUCCUCUACGACAGCCACGCUAUUUGGGUCCCGUGGGAAAGAGCCGGGCUCCUUUCCCUUAUUAUAUAUUAUAGGGAUAGAGCACCUCACUUUGCACAACUGUAUGAAUCUAGGCUAGACGGAGUUGCUUUGGCUUGCUCUGUUUAUGGUUUCUGCUGUCUUUUUGGUUGUUUGGUUUUGUUUUUUGUUUUUUUUCUGGUUCACAGGUGUUUUGUAGGCUUUACUAGGCCUUAU